rnacentral:rRNA from 1 species
UACGUAGGGGGCAAGCGUUGUCCGGAGUUACUGGGCGUAAAGCGCACGCAGGUGGUCUCUUAAGUUUGGAGUGACAGUUGGUGGCUUAACUGCCAAAGUGCUUCGAAAACUGAGAGACUUGAGGGCUUCAGAGGGACACGGAAUUCCGGGUGUAGCGGUGGAAUGCGUAGAGAUCCGGAAGAACACCGGUGGCGAAGGCGGCCUGCUGGGCUAUGGGCUGACACUGAGGCGCGACAGCGUGGGGAGCAAACAGG